UAUAAUAACAAAAUUUACAAAUAUUGUUUUUGUACUAGGCCAACUGCAUACUUUCAUAAAUAGGCAACAUGGAUAGAAAAUAGAAAGAAGCUUCAUACUUUGAGUCUAACAAAACUGUAGGAGUUAUAUAUAGACACAUUUAUCCAAUGCUUCUGGUACCUGAAGCUGAGUUAAUGAGCUGCAGCCAUUUCAAUCAAAGCAUGAAGCAUCUAUUGACCCUCAUGCAGCUGAUCGAAAGGAAGUUCCUGUCUCGUCCAUCGCAUCUGCUCCACCACGUGUUGGUGUGUUUGUGUGAGGAGGAGAGAGAGCAGAGUCCUGCAGAGCUGGAAGAGCUAUUCCGCUCCAGUUAAAGCUGUCAGAUUAAUGAUCAAUCAUCCUCUCUGUUCUCCAAUUUAAUGCAACUCACAGACCUGCACCAAACACCAUUGAGAGACUAUAACACUUUUUAUUGACAGAUAAACAAUAAGCCACAGAGCUGUUGUGUGAAUACAUCUGCUUUUUUUGCUGAUAUGAUCUGCUUAAUUGAAAUGUUUGGAGCUUUGAUUUUCUUCUUAAUAGAAAUGUGACAGAAAUAAAACAGGCUUAGCAGCACAGUUAUACUUCAACAGAAAGAAAACAACCGUGGUUACAAAAAUAUCAAAAUA